rnacentral:rRNA from 1 species
GCUUGUCUCAAAGAUUAAGCCAUGCAUGUCUAAGUAUAAGCAACUAUACGGUGAAACUGCGAAUGGCUCAUUAAAUCAGUUAUCGUUUAUUUGAUAGUACCCUACUACAUGGAUAACCGUGGUAAUUCUAGAGCUAAUACAUGCUAAAAACUCCGACUUCGGAAGGAGUGUAUUUAUUAGAUAAAAAACCAACGCCCUCCGGGGCUCCGUGGUGAAUCAUAAUAACUUAACGAAUCGCAUGGCCUUGCGCCGGCGAUGGUUCAUUCAAAUUUCUGCCCUAUCAACUUUCGAUGGUAGGAUAGUGGCCUACCAUGGUUUCAACGGGUAACGGGGAAUUAGGGUUCGACUCCGGAGAGGGAGCCUGAGAAACGGCUACCACAUCCAAGGAAGGCAGCAGG